UACGUAGGGUGCGAGCGUUGUCCGGAAUUAUUGGGCGUAAAGGGCUCGUAGGCGGUCUGUCACGUCGGGAGUGAAAACUCAGGGCUUAACCCUGAGCCUGCUUCCGAUACGGGCAGACUAGAGGUAUGCAGGGGAGAACGGAAUUCCUGGUGUAGCGGUGAAAUGCGCAGAUAUCAGGAGGAACACCGGUGGCGAAGGCGGUUCUCUGGGAAUGUCCUGACGCUGAGGAGCGAAAGUGUGGGGAGCGAACAGG
rnacentral:rRNA from 1 species